CCAAUCUGCAGCCUUAUCAUGGCCUUUCCCAAGAAUGAUUUCAGGGGACAUAAAUUCUAAAGUUCCACACAAGGAGUUUGACCUUGUAUUUUCAUCAAACUGCUUUGCCAGCCCAAAAUCUGUCAACUUCACUUGCCCAUCUGCAUCUAGAAGAACAUUUUCAGGUUUGAGAUCCCUAUGCAUUAUGCCAUUUGCAUGGAGGUGAGAGACAGCAGAAACAAUCUGAGCAGUAUAUAUACGUGCCAAAUCCUCUCUGAACAAGCCUUGGCGGUAGAGCUGAUAGAAAAGAUGACCUCCAUUAACAAAAUCAAGCACGAGGUAGAGUCUAUAUUUGGUUUGGAAUGAAUAUCUGAGCUGCACGAUGAAGGGAUGAUCCACUUUUGUUAAUAUGUCUCUCUCAGAUUUCAUGUAUUCAGCAUGAUUUUUCUCCAUUAUCUUAUCUUUCCUCAUGACCUUCAUCGCAUAUAUUUCUGAAGUACCAAUCCUCCUCACUUGAUACACCUUUGCAAAAGCACCUCGGCCAACAACCCUUAGAACUUCAAAAUCUUCGAGCCCCACAGCAGUGCAAGGUUUAGUAAGUUCUUUUCCUGAUUCUUCAGUAACUGGCUUUAUGAGUUCCAAGGAAUCUUCGUCCGGGUCACACAAUGUGAGUUUGCUGAGCUUCAAAUGAUGAUUAACAUGACUUGAGGGGCCCACCAAGGAAUGGGACCGACUACAGAUGACAGCGGGGUCCUCAUAAAGUGAUCCACUAGCAUCUGAACUAACAACCAAAUUUUUAGAGUUUUCAAAAGAAACUUGCGGUGAGGCUUGACAAGUAGCAGGACCAAAUACAUCAGAAAAAUCAAACUCAGCAUAAUCAGAGGGAAGAGCAUCAGGUGGUUUCACUGGAAGAAGCAAGUGUUUCGGGAAGGGCCUAGACAAUUUAGAGAAAACCAUGUUGGCCAUAUCAAAUGAGGACAACGUAUCUUGAAAAGAGGGGAAAAAGAACCUGGGAUUCUAUAGGUUGAUCUCUCCAAAAAAAGCAGAGAUGCAAACGGAUGAAGAGGGAGACCUGACAAUGGCCUUAAACAAGAGAAAGUUUUCGAAUGCAACAGGAGUUCCAAGGAAAGUUGGGAGUAAGCAAACCAAAAUCCAGAAAAAGAAGUCGUUCUUGUUUCCCGAUUUACAGG
rnacentral:misc_RNA from 1 species